rnacentral:rRNA from 1 species
GACGAACGCUGGCGGCGUGCUUAACACAUGCAAGUCGAACGGUAAGGCCCUUCGGGGUACACGAGUGGCGAACGGGUGAGUAACACCUGGGUGAUCUGCCCUGCACUUCGGGAUAAGCCUGGGAAACUGGGUCUAAUACCGGAUAGGACCACUGCCUGCAUGGGUGGUGGUGGAAAGCUUUUGCGGUGUGGGAUGGGCCCGCGGCCUAUCAGCUUGUGGGUGGGGUGAUGGCCUACCAAGGCGACGACGGGUAGCCGGCCUGAGAGGGUGACCGGCCACACUGGGACUGAGAUACGGCCCAGACUCCUACGGGAGGCAGCAGUGGGGGAUAUUGCACAAUGGGCGCAAGCCUGAUGCAGCGACGCCGCGUGAGGGAUGACGGCCUUCGGGUUGUAAACCUCUUUCAGCACCGACGAAGCGCAAGUGACGGUAGGUGCAGAAGAAGGACCGGCCAACUACGUGCCAGCCGCCGCGGUAA